CCUACGGGUGGCAGCAGUGAGGAAUAUUGGGCAAUGGGCGCGAGCCUGAACCAGCCAAGUAGCGUGAAGGAGGAAGGCCCUACGGGUGGUAAACUUCUGUUAUAAAGGAAUAAAGUGAGGCACGUGUGCAGUUUUGUAUGUACUUUAUGAAUAAGGAUCGGCUAACUCCGUGCCAGCAGCCGCGGUAAUACGGAGGAUCCGAGCGGUAUCCGGAGUUAGUGGGUUUAAAGGGAGCGUAGGUGGCUUGUUAAGUCCGUUGUGAAAGUUUGCGGCUCAACCGUAAAAUUGAAGUUGAAACGGGCAGUCUUGCGUACAGUAGAGGUGGGCGGACUUCGUGGUGUAGCGG
rnacentral:rRNA from 1 species